GGUGGGGUGUUCCGAAUGGUAAGGAGCCUGUCUUGAAAACAGGUGGCUGAAUAAGCCGUGCGAGUUCGAGUCUCGCCCCCACCGCCA
rnacentral:tRNA from 1 species